GAUGAACGCUGGCGGCGUGCCUAAUACAUGCAAGUCGAGCGAACGGACGAGAAGCUUGCUCCUCUGAUGUUAGCGGCGGACGGGUGAGUAACACGUGGAUAACCUACCUAUAAGACUGGGAUAACUUCGGGAAACCGUAGCUAAUACCGGAUAAUAUUUUGAACCGCAUGGUUCAAUAGUGAAAGACGGUCUUGCUGUCACUUAUAGAUGGAUCCGCGCCGCAUUAGCUAGUUGGUAAGGUAACGGCUUACCAAGGCAACGAUGCAUAGCCGACCUGAGAGGGUGAUCGGCCACACUGGAACUGAGACACGGUCCAGACUCCUACGGGAGGCAGCAGUAGGGAAUCUUCCGCAAUGGGCGAAAGCCUGACGGAGCAACGCCGCGUGAGUGAUGAAGGUCUUCGGAUCGUAAAACUCUGUUAUUAGGGAAGAACAAAUGUGUAAGUAACUGUGCACAUCUUGACGGUACCUAAUCAGAAAGCCACGGCUAACUACGUG
rnacentral:rRNA from 1 species